UUUAUAUCUAUUAUUAAUUUAUUACAGCUCUAUGACAUUUGGAUUGAGAAGGUUGGGAGGACAGAGCUAAGAGGGAAAAGUAAAGAGAGGGUUCGAGCCUCUUAUAGAGUUUGCAGUAUCCAUUUUGGAUAAGAGGCCCAGUAUAUUGGAACUAGAUAUUUAUCUACCCUAAGAGCUGAUGCUAUUCCUUCUUUAAAUCUUAGAGUAGUUGAAACUACAGAUAUGCCCCAGAAAACUCUCGACAAUUUGAAUGAUGAAGACAGCCCUAUUGUGUUGCCAUCCAUUUCUAGCUCUUAUCAUGCUACUGUAGUAAAUUCUCCAACUCGGUGUACUACAGCAAAACGAGCAUCUUCUCAAGGGAAAAUAUGUACCCCGGCUAAAGCGUCAAGUCUCACUAAGCGUAGUAGUUUGUUGACUUACACGGGAAGGAAAAGAGCAGUAGAGCUGACACCCAGGAGUUAUGUGACGAGCCACCCUGUACAACCAUGGAAGCCACGCAACCAUACAACCAGAAGCUGCUGACCCUGC